rnacentral:snRNA from 1 species
GGCUGGAAGAGCACCGCA